rnacentral:rRNA from 1 species
GUAGGGAAUAUUGGACAAUGGGGGGAACCCUGAUCCAGCCAUGCCGCGUGUGUGAAGAAGGCCUUUUGGUUGUAAAGCACUUUAAGCGAGGAGGAGGCUACCGAGAUUAAUACUCUUGGAUAGUGGACGUUACUCGCAGAAUAAGCACCGGCUAACUCUGUGCCAGCAGCCGCGGUAAUACAGAGGGUGCAAGCGUUAAUCGGAUUUACUGGGCGUAAAGCGCGCGUAGGUGGCCAAUUAAGUCAAAUGUGAAAUCCCCGAGCUUAACUUGGGAAUUGCAUUCGAUACUGGUUGGCUAGAGUAUGGGAGAGGAUGGUAGAAUUCCAGGUGUAGCGGUGAAAUGCGUAGAGAUCUGGAGGAAUACCGAUGGCGAAGGCAGCCAUCUGGCCUAAUACUGACACUGAGGUGCGAAAGCAUGGGGAGCAAACAGGAUUAGAUACCCCUGUAGUCC